rnacentral:lncRNA from 1 species
AAAAAAGUAACAUUGGAGUCUAGCAUUCCAUGAAAACCUUGAACAAUCGAUCUCGAGGCUCACGUCUUGGUCUUAUCGAACAUUCGUUGUCCAUCAAACAACUUUCAUAAACUCUAUGAAUGAAAAAGGAACAUUGCAUUCUCGCACUCAAUGAAAACCCCAAAUAAGCAGUCCCAAGGAACACGCCUCAUUCUUAUCGAGCAUUCGUCAUUCGCCUUAAAAAAACUCAACAAAUCAAACCUAUUUUUUCUCUCCCUCGUUCUAUUGGAACCCUUUUUGCAAAAGAA